rnacentral:rRNA from 1 species
AUACGUAGGGGGCGAGCGUUGUCCGGAAUUACUGGGCGUAAAGGGUGCGUAGGUGGCCUUUUAAGUGAGAUGUGAAAUACUCGGGCUUAACCUGAGUGCUGCAUUUCAAACUGGAAGUCUAGAGUGCAGGAGAGGAGAAGGGAAUUCCUAGUGUAGCGGUGAAACGCGUAGAGAUUAGGAAGAACACCAGUGGCGAAGGCGCUUCUCUGGACUGUAACUGACGCUGAGGCUCGAAAGCGUGGGGAGC